rnacentral:sRNA from 1 species
AUCUAGACUUACGGGCGAUCUCUGGGAUGGCCAGUCAGCGGGGUGGUCUCCUGGGUCCCCAGCCUCGCCAUUCUGUGGGGGGUGGUGACUGGGCGAACUCUCAGAUGCCUCAGCACCCUCCCACCCCUUCCUCAGGCAGAACGAGAUCUUGUGGCGGGAGGUGGUGACACUUCGGCAGAGCCACGGUCAGCAGCACCGGGUCAUUGGCAAGGCGGGGCCGAGCAAUGCAGGAGGCAAGAGAAAGCUGUCCCUGAUGCUGGAUGAGGGGAGCUCAUGCCCAACACCUGCCAAGUUCAACACCUGCCCUCUACCUGGUGCCCUUCUGCAGGACCCUUACUUCAUCCAGUCGCCUUCUACUUACAGCCUCU